rnacentral:snoRNA from 10 species
GUGUGAUGACAUUGGGUUUUCACGUUCAUGUGUGAGAUGUGCCUCCCUCAAGCCUUAUUACAACGCCAAUACAUUUUUUUUCCACA